rnacentral:rRNA from 1 species
UUAAUAGUUAGUGGCGUAAGGGUUAGUAGUGGAUAGGUAAUGUACCCUGGGCUUCGGGAUAGCGUCGGUUGCUUCGGCAACCUUCCGAAAGGGGCGGUAAUACCGGAUAAUAUCAUUUGUCGAUGGGCAAAUGUUCAAAGAUUUAUCGGCGCAGGAGCGGCCUAUCUCCUAUCAGCUUGUUGGUGAGGUAAAAGCUCACCAAGGCUAUGACGGGUAGCGGGACUGAGAGGUUGACCCGCAACAUCGGGACUGAGACACUGCCCGGACCUCCACGGAGGGCUGCAGUAACGAAUAUUGCGCAAUGGGCUAAAGCCUGACGCAGCGACGCCGCGUGUGGGAGGAAGUCUCUCGGGAUGUAAACCACUGUCAGGGGUAAGAAAGUCUGCUUCGGCAGAUUGAUCAGCCCCAGAGGAAGUCACGGCUAACUUCGUGCCAGCAGCCGCGGUAAGACGAAGGUGGCUAGCGUUGUUCGGUGUCACUGGGCUUAAAGAGUAUGUAGGCGGAAAAGUAAGCGUCUUGUGAAAUCCCUCGGCUUAACCGAGGAAUUGCUCGACGAACUACUUUUCUUGAGGCAAGUAGGGGUGCAUAGAACUCUUGGUGGAGCGGUGGGAAUGCGUAGAUAUCAAGAGGAAUGCCGAUGGAGAAAUCAGUGCACUGGGCUUGUUCUGACGCUGAGAUACGAAAGCGUGGGGAGCAAACGGGAUUAGAUACCCCGGUAGUCCACGCCGUAAACGAUGUCUACUAGGUUGUGGAGGUUCUGACACUUGCACGGCCGAAGCAAAAGUGUUAAGUAGACCGCCUGGGGAGUACGGCCGCAAGGCUAAAACUCAAAGGAAUUGACGGGGGCUCACACAAGCGGUGGAGCAUGUGU